GGCGCAGAUGGCGGCGGCGCACGGCGCCUGAGCGGGCCGGGGCCAUGAGCGCCGCCCGGCCCCAGUUCAGCAUUGAUGAUGCCUUCGAGCUGUCCCUGGAGGACGCGGGCCCUGGGCCCGAGUCCAGCGGGGUCGCGCGCUUUGGGCCGCUGCACUUCGAGCGUCGGGCCCGGUUCGAGGUGGCUGACGAGGACAAGCAGUCCCGGCUGCGCUACCAGAACCUGGAGAACGAUGAGGAUGGAGCCCAGGCCUCUCCGGAGCCGGAUGGGGGAGUCAGCACCAGGUUAGGGCCAGGGAUUCCGGCCGAACUUCCAUCCGCAGCUCCCAGUGGUCCUUUAGCACCAUCAGCAGCGGCACCCAGCGCUCCUACAACACCUGCUGCAGCUGGACUCAACACCCUUUGAUCCAGAAGAACCGCCGAGUGGUGCUGGCCUCCUUCCUGCUCCUGCUGCUGGGGCUGGGUGAGUGGCCCUGAGGGUUGGGGUCAAGAGGGGCCCCGUGGGAGGCUCUGCCCUCCUUUUGUGCAGGCUCUGCUUCCCCCUUGACAUUGAGCCUCCCAGCAUCCUGGGGAGGCAGCUGGCUGCCAUCAUCACACUCCCAUUUUACAGGUGAGGAGACAGAGGCCUUGUGACCUGGGCACACAGCCAGGAAAUCACACAUAGCUGAAAAUGGAACCUGGCUUAUCACUCCAAAGACUUUUCCUUUUUUAAAAAAUUUAACCUGUUUAAUCCAUUAGGGGACAGAAGUGUAGCAGCUACCAUUUAUUCUGUGUCUGCUUUGGGCAAGGUGCAGGGCAGUUUUAUUUUCCCACCUUACAGAAGUCCUACAAGUGAGGUGGUGCCCAGAAGCCACGUGUAGGGGCUCAGGGAUGCCGAGUGCCCAGCCAGUGCAGAGCCGCAGGGCACCUGGCACUUCCCCUUGUCUGGCAUCUAAGCGCUGACAAGCACCCCUCUCCUACCCAUUGCUCAGAUGGGGGAACUUUUGGUCCAGAGCAGGCAGAUCUCACACCAGGUGUUCUUUGGCUCCCAGGCACCUCGUUCUUUGGGGUAAAGGAGGCAGAGUCCCCAGAAAGUAUCCAGGGUUGGGGUCACGAGUGAUCCAUAAGGAGGGACUAACUGUGGCUGCUACCCUGGCUCAUCUCUCCGCUUCUCCAGGAAGGCCAAGGCUCCCCAGCCAGCCAGGCCCCUGGCACAGAGUCUGGCCUCUGCUCAGGGUGUUUGAGUGCGGGGGAGGGGUCUGCCACUUCCCAGCACCGCUGUACACCGGCCCUGGUAGUGCUGCCAAGUUCUUUCAUUUUUCCUCUCAACCCAGCAAGGCAAGCCUGGGGCUACCAGAGCGCCUUAGAGGGCCUUUGUAGGGUGCAGGGAGUGAGUUUCAGCCCCCAUCAUCCCCUAUACCCCCCCUUUUUUUUUUUCUUUUUUUUCUUUUUUUUUUAGAAGGAGUCUUGCUCUGUGGCUCAGUCAGGAGUGUAGUGGCGCAAUCUCGGCUCACUGCAACCUCCGCCUCCUGGGUUCAAGGGAUUUUCAUGCCUCAGCCUCCAGAGUAGCUGGGAUUACAGGCGCCCGCCACCACACCUGGCUAAUUUUUUGUAUUUUUCUAGUAGAGAUGGGGUUUCACCAUGUUGGCCUCAGGUGAUCCACCCACCUCAGCUUCCCAAAGUGUUGGGAUUACAGGCGUGAGCCACCAUGCCCAGCCCUUUUUAUUUUUUUAGAGACAGGGUCUUGGUCUGUUGCCCAAGCUGGAGAGCUGUGGUAUGAUCACUGCAGCCUCAAACUCUUGGACUCAAGCCAUCCUCCCAGCUGAGCCUCCCUAGUAGCUGGGACUACAGGCAUGUACCACCAUGCUCAGCUAAUUUUUUUUUUUUAAAUAAUAA
rnacentral:sRNA from 1 species